rnacentral:rRNA from 1 species
GCGGUACUCUGACCGUGCAAAGGUAGCAUAAUCAUUUGCCUUAUAAUUGAAGGCUUGUAUGAAUGGUUUGACAAGAAUGAAGCUGUCUCUUUACAAAUAAGUAUAAUUUUAUUUACAGGUGAAGAAGCCUGUAUUAUAUUGAAAGACAAGAAGACCCUAUCGAGCUUUAAAUAAAUUAAUAAAAAGUAAAUUGUAUUUAUAUUGAGUUAGUUAUUAAAAAUUUUAGUUGGGGCGACUAAGGAACAAUCAAAGCUUCCUAAAAAAUUUUAAGUACUUUCAAGUUGUGAUCCAAAAAUUUUGAUUAAAGGAAUUAGUUACCGUAGGGAUAACAGCAUUAUCUUUUUUAAGAGUUCAAAUCGAAAAAAAGGUUUGUGACCUCGAUGUUGGACCAGAAUAUCCUGAAGAUGCAGCCGUCUUCAAGGGUUGGUCUGUUCGACCAUUAAAAUUCU